UUCUGGAAGAGACUCUCUCUGCCUGGGUUUAGACUGCCAUCCUUGGUCUCACAGCAGGGGAGCAGGAUGAUCAGGUUAUUCUUUAGUGAGAGUACUCCAGCAGAAGAAAUAGGGGCCUGAAAACAGCAACCCUGAUGAGGAGGUAGCUGCCAGCAGGGCAAAGGAAAAGGACACUAACUUUGAGCGCUUGUCUCAGAUCUCAUGUCAAUCCUGCAAGAUAUUGGAAUAUUCUUCAUAUAAUGCAGUAUCACUUCUGUAUGAAGCCACGUGUAACUUGUCCCCCUCCUUUCCAUCACGAGAACUACUGAAGAUGUAAACCAAAUCCAGCAGGGAAACCAGUGACAUUUGUGAACAGUAGACGGGAUUAAAGGAGCUGGACACACUCUUUCUUCAACAUCUGCCAUGAUAUGAUUUCACAAGCAAGAAAUGUGCCAAGGCUUCUACCCAAGAAAAUAACCUACAUGGACAUGUCAUGGGGGCUCCCCUGCCCUCAAGCUCCCAUGGGGGUUCCGCCAAUGAAGAUAAGAAGAAAGAGAGGUUGAGGUGGAGGGACUGAACCUCAAUCAGAUGGAGUGAAUGCUUCAGGUCACACAGCGAAAGAGUCCUGGAUGAAAACCCAGUGCUACCAGAAUGCAGUCUUUUCUCUCCACCACACUGUACCUCCCACAGCCCUCUUUGUUUUAGAGCAAGGCCAUUUCAGGGAAGCCUUGCCAUACCUGAUCUCCACAGGCAGCUUUCACCAACUGUGCUUCAAGUGCAUGGUCAUUCCAGAGCCUGGACGGAAUGGGCACUCCUGGUGCUAUGGCCUCACUGCCUACAAAGCUAAGUGCACAGGUAGGGACAGGGUGCUUCCUUUGCUCCUGUGGUGAUCUGGAGACACAGAUCAACCCAGUGUGAAUGGAACCAGGCAGAGCUGCCCACCAAAAUAAAAGUGUGGCCAAAACCCAGCCCUGCUUGUGGGUGAACAAAAAACAUGCCCUCCAGCCACAACUGCAUUCACAGAGCUUCCGGGGAUGGCUCUUACCUGGGGC